CCUACGGGAGGCUGCAGUCGAGAAUCAUUCACAAUGGGGGAAACCCUGAUGGUGCGACGCCGCGUGGGGGAAUGAAGGUCUUCGGAUUGUAAACCCCUGUCAUGUGGGAGCAAAUUAAAAAGAUAGUACCACAAGAGGAAGAGACGGCUAACUCGGUGCCAGCAGCCGCGGUAAUACAGAGGUCUCAAGCGUUGUUCGGAAUCACUGGGCGGAAAGCGUGCGUAGGCUGUUUCGUAAGUCGUGUGUGAAAGGCGCGGGCUCAACCCGCGGACGGCACAUGAUACUGGGAGACUAGAGUAAUGGAGGGGGAACCGGAAUUCUCGGUGUAGCAGUGAAAUGCGUAGAUAUCGAGAGGAACACUCGUGGCGAAGGCGGGUUCCUGGACAUUAACUGACGCUGAGGCACGAAGGCCAGGGGAGCGAAAGGGAUUAGAUACCCGAGUAGUC
rnacentral:rRNA from 1 species